UAUAUAUUAAUGUAUGAUGCAUUUAAAAUUUUGAAUUUUAAUGAAAUAGUUUAAUUCUAUUAUAUAUAU
rnacentral:tRNA from 1 species